UGGGGAAUAUUGGUCAAUGGGCGCGAGCCUGAACCAGCCAUUCCGCGUGAAGGAAGAAGGCCUUAUGGGUUGUACACUUCUUUUCUGUAAGAAGAAAAGUCCCGACGUGUCGGGAUGUGACGGUAUUAUAGGAAUAAGCAUCGGCUAACUCCGUGCCAGCAGCCGCGGUAAUACGGAGGAUGCAAGCGUUAUCCGGAUUUAUUGGGUUUAAAGGGUGCGCAGGUUGUUUUAUAAGUCAGUGGUGAAAGUCUGUCGCUUAACGAUAGGAUUGCCAUUGAUACUGUACGACUUGAGUAUGGAUGAGGUCGGCGGAAUGUGUAGUGUAGCGGUCCACUGCAUAGAUAUUACACAGAACGCCGAUUGCGAAGGCAGCUUACUAAUCCAUGACUGACGCUGAGGCACGAAAGCGUGGGGAUCAAACA
rnacentral:rRNA from 1 species